AAGUCUCGAGGCCACUCGCUCGCUGUGUGUUCCCGGACAAGGCGUGUCCCCUCUCUGAGCUUAGUUUAUCUACCAGACACACGGCUGGAAAGGAUCCGUGAUAAGCAAACUACAGCCCCAGCGGCGUCUGGGCUGGGCACGCGAGCAAGCGCGGGCACUCUCCGGAAGCCUGGCCCUCGCCCUCCGGGCAGGCAGGGCGCAGGGAGCACCGCCGCCCCGCUUCUAGUUCGGGGCACAUCAGCCCCGAGAUUGGGUUGCAAGCAGUGACUCGGCAGAAAAUGAACCACAGAGACUACUAGCAACCAAAUGCUGUGAGCAGGGGAGGGAAGGAGCACACAGAGCUCGCCUCCCCCAGCGCGGUCCUUGGGUCGCUGGGCACGUAGCCAGACAGGGAUGAGACCCAUCACCACUACCCAGAGGACAGGGAGAUCCUGAAUUGGCUUCCCAGGAAGGCACCACAACGCCCCGUGGGCCCUGCCCCCUUGCAGAGAGGCACUGAAACAUGGAAGACACUUGUUACCACAGCAGAACCAAAGGAGAGCUGACUGAUACACUCCUCCUGCCAGCGGAACCAGACCAGCCCUGCUGUCAACUUCUGCCUCUUUCUCCCCUCCCUCUGCCAUCGCGGACCCAUUCCCACACCCCAGACUGAGGAAAUCGGGAAAUUGGUUUUGUCUUCUCCCCCGAUUUCCAGAAUUCCCUGGCUGCACUAGCCAGAUUCCGCCUGUCUGGUGGGUGUAACUCCUGCACCCCAAUUGCUGGGGUAGAGCAGCGUCCUUGAAUCCGGGACGCAUGGCCAACCCCACUCCCCCAGCCUGCCUGCAGCUGACAUUUUCUUUGGGGCGUACACACACGGCAACCCCAGCACCAGCAGUACCCGGGGCUUCAUUCCUGACAGAAAUCACCCACACCUUCACUCCACAGCAAAGCUGGGGCAGGGGUCUCAAAUCUCGUUCAAUGCGCCUUCAUUUUUAUUUAUUACUUACUUUUAGAGAGAUUUUUGCUAUAUUUUUUAGCUCACCAGAGAGACAGAGAGAGAAAGAAAG